GCAGCGUGGUGCAGUUGUGCAGAGCUUCACCCCGUCGACCCCACCGGCAACCGCCAACAGCUUCCGCGCCGGUCGCCGUUCGGCAGCCUCAUGGUGGAGUUGGCAGAUGGAGGUAACUGGGCAGAUGGCACUCCUCCGUGGUGGAUGAGGAAGACGGGGAUUCCAAUCAGGCGUCCUUUCUUUGAUGAAUUGGAGCCUGCAGGUCGACCGGAUGACACUUCUCAGCAAACUCGAUCUCAGUAUCUCACCAAGAAGUGUAAGUUAUGGUUGUAAUCGCUGUUCUUGUGUUUGUAAUUCAGUUAGUCAGUGUAGGUUUUUUUUUUCAAGUUCCAUCAGCUACGUUCAGUUAGAGAUAGAUGUUAGUAAGAGGUACCUGCAGUACUGGUAGAUCAAGGGUGCCGGUAAUGUAGCCUGGAUCCAUGUCACUGAGACGUCGUCCAUGCAUAUGGGCAUGUAUGAAUGUAUGAUUGGUUUUCUAUUAUAAAGUGCAAACAUUGAAAUGAUUAGCACCAAAGGAAAAGAGAUACUCCUAUACCAAAAAUGUCUAAAACCUGGCUUGAUCACAAUAAUAUGCAGCAGAGUUGCUUAUGCUGUCCUAUUUUGAACAUGAGAGAAACCUUGUAGCUGUUAGUUAACUUUUCUAUUGCCGUGGCCUCUAAUCGCCUUCACUGCAUAGCAAGUUAAUCUACUGAAAAGUAAAAGAAAAGAUAGAAAAGGAGUCUUCAAAUGAAGAUUAUUCUAUUGCAGCAAUGGCAGUUAAAAUGCAAGAGAAGUUUUAGAAAUAUUGGGACUUAUCCUGCCUGUUGUGCUAGAGCCUAGAUUCAAGUUCAAUUUUAUAGCCUUUCGCUUGGAGGCAGGAUUUGGCAACAAAGGUCCCUCAUACACUGCAAAAGUGAAGUCAACAUUGGAGGAUUUGUUUGUUGCAUAUUCAUCACAAACACCUGAUUCAAGCAACAACUUUCGGCCACAAUCCAAUGAUGAGAUUAUUGAUGAAAAUGACCCCUGGGCAGACUGGGAGCAACACCUUACAACAUAAAAAAAGAGUGCAGAGAAAAAUAAGCUAGAAAUAUAUUUGCAAGAUGAUCUUUUUCCUCGGCAAAAGGACUUGGACAUUCUGCAAUGGUGGAUGAUGCACUCUACUAAAUACCCUAUACUUUCGCGUAUGGCAAGAGAUUUAUUUGCAGCAGCUGCAUCAACAGUAGCUUCAGAGUCUGCAUUCUCUACUAGUGGGAGAGUUAUUAGCGACUAUAGAAGCCGGUUGACAAACAAGAAUGUAGAAGCAUUAAUUUGCCUCCAGGACUGGUAGAGAGCUGAAGGCCAUACCAACUUCAAGAUUGCAGAAGGUGAUAUCAGUGAUGAUGAGGGUCAGUUAGAUUAAAAGCUAACAGAUUUUAAGAAAGAAUGGAGGAGAGCUUGGAGUAUGAAGAUUCAUAAUUUUACUUGUUGCCAUUGUUAGUGUCGAAAGAAUCAGAUUAUAAGCUUUUAUCAAGAAAUCUGGAAGCAAGGACUAUUCUUUUGUUCAAAUUGGUUGUUAAAUUGGUCUUAGUAGAGUACAAGGGCUACUGUCUAGCAGAUGCUUGCUUUGGUUUUCAGUUUUAUCAGUAACUGUAUCUUCACUUUGCUUCAAUGCAUGUGUUCUUGCCAUACUAUACUGUUGGGCUUUACAUUAUGGCACGCAAUUCCUAAUGGCAUAUAUGUUCUUGUAAUUUCAGUUCAGGAAUGUGUGGGUGUGGUGCUUACCUGGACUAAAAGAGAUUUGAAUAAUCAUUCUUGUCAAUGAUUUUUUUUUGAAGCAGCCAUCAUGGUAUUGAUAGAGAAGAGACUGUCAAUGAAAUGUUGAUUACUGUAAUAAGUGACUGGAGUGUCAGUUCCUAAGGAUUGUGGAAGUGCUAUUAUCUAGGAUAUUAGAUAGUCGUUUCCAUUCAUUACAUUCAUGUGGUGGCUUCUGAAGAAGUCAGUUUUGAAACUUAGGAUGGAGAAAGGUGCAGUAUAUCACUUCCAGAUCACAGACCCGGAACUAUUUGCCUUAUUUCCUGUGUAAUAAGAUAUGUAAUUGCUCACUUGUUAAGAAGCUGAUGACAUUGACAAGCCUGA